rnacentral:rRNA from 1 species
UACAGAGGUCCCGAGCGUUGUUCGGAUUCAUUGGGCGUAAAGGGUACGUAGGCGGUCUUCUAAGUUUGAUGUGAAAUCCCGGGGCUCAACCCUGGAAUUGCAUUGAAUACUGGAGGACUAGAGUACCGGAGAGGAAACUGGAAUUUACGGUGUAGCAGUGAAAUGCGUAGAGAUCGUAAGGAAGACCAGUGGCGAAGGCGAGUCUCUGGACAGCAACUGACGCUGAGGCACGAAGGCCAGGGGGGCAAACGGG